UCAGCUUGUUGGUGGGGUAACGGCCUACCAAGGCGACGACGGGUAGCCGGCCUGAAAGGGCGAACCGGCCACACUGGGACUGAGACACGGCCCAGACUCCUACGGGAGGCAGCAGUGGGGAAUAUUGCGCAAUGGGCGAAAGCCUGACGCAGCGACGCCGCGUGGGGGAUGAAGGCCUUCGGGUUGUAAACCUCUUUCGGCAGGGACGAAGUUGACGUGUACCUGCGGAAGAAGCGCCGGCUAAC
rnacentral:rRNA from 1 species